GACGAACGCUGGCGGCGUGCUUAACACAUGCAAGUCGAACGAUGAAGCGGCCAGCUUGCUGGUGGUGGAUUAGUGGCGAACGGGUGAGUAACACGUGAGUAACCUGUCCUUCACUCUGGGAUAAGCCCUGGAAACGGGGUCUAAUACUAGAUAUUCUCAAUGUGCCGCAUGGUGUGUUGUGGAAAGAUUUUUUGGUGAGGGUUGGACUCGCGGCCUAUCAGCUUGUUGGUGGGGUAGUGGCCUACCAAGGCUUUGACGGGUAGCCGGCCUGAGAGGGUGACCGGCCACACUGGGACUGAGACACGGCCCAGACUCCUACGGGAGGCAGCAGUGGGGAAUAUUGCACAAUGGGCGCAAGCCUGAUGCAGCGACGCCGCGUGGGGGAUGAAGGCCUUCGGGUUGUAAACCGCUGUCGUAGGGGAGGAAGGCUCCGUGAAGAACGGGGUUUGACCUAUCCUAGGAGGAAGUACGGGCUAAGUACGUGCCAGCAGCCGCAGUAAAA
rnacentral:rRNA from 1 species